GAGUGAGAGGUAAAGAGCUACAGAGAUUUGACAGGCGGGUGUCCCCUUCCUCCCUCACUGCUCCAGGUGCGUCCCUCCUGAAGCUGCGCGCUUGGUCGAAGAAGAUGACCAUCCCCGAUAGAGGAAGACCGUUCUUCUCGGUCAAGGGCGUACGAGUAGCUGCGCUCCCCAAACAAGCUCCCAAGAGCUACAGAGACUUCUGAAGGAAGGCCAUCGCAGUUAGUGGCUCACGGGUACGUGUGAGACAUCUUAUCUGGUUCUUACAC
rfam:Camelus ferus unplaced genomic scaffold scaffold1508, whole genome shotgun sequence.